rnacentral:rRNA from 1 species
CGAUAACCGGUUAAGUCGGAACCUGGAGGAGGGUAAUCGUCCACAUCGGACUGAGACGGCCAAACUCUACCGGGAGGCAGGCAGUAGGGAAUUCUUCACAAUGACGAAAGUCUGAUGGAGCAAUGCGCGUGAGUGAAGAAGGGUUUCGGGCUCGUAAAACUCUGUUGUUAAAGAAGAACACCUUUGAGAGUAACUGUUCAAAGGGUUGACGGUAUUUAACCAGAAAGCACGGCUAACUACGUGCCAGCAGCCGCGGUAAUACGUAGGUGGCAAGCGUUGUCCGGAUUUAUUGGGCGUAAAGCGAGCGCAGGCGGUUUUUUAAGUCUGAUGUGAAAGCCUUCGGCUUAACCGGAGAAGUGCAUCGGAAACUGGGAGACUUGAGUGCAGAAGAGGACAGUGGAACUCCAUGUGUAGCGGUGGAAUGCGUAGAUAUAUGGAAGAACACCAGUGGCGAAGGCGGCUGUCUAGUCUGUAACUGACGCUGAGGCUCGAAAGCAUGGGUAGCGAACAGGAUUAGAUACCCUGGUAGUCCAUGCCGUAAACGAUGAGUGCUAAGUGUUGGAGGGUUUCCGCCCUUCAGUGCUGCAGCUAACGCAUUAAGCACUCCGCCUGGGGAGUACGACCGCAAGGUUGAAACUCAAAGGAAUUGACGGGGGCCCGCACAAGCGGUGGAGCAUGUGGUUUAAUUCGAAGCUACGCGAAGAACCUUACCAGGUCUUGACAUCUUCUGCCAAUCUUAGAGAUAAGACGUUCCCUUCGGGGACAGAAUGACAGGUGGUGCAUGGUUGUCGUCAGCUCGUGUCGUGAGAUGUUGGGUUAAGUCCCGCAACGAGCGCAACCCUUAUUAUCAGUUGCCAGCAUUCAGUUGGGCACUCUGGUGAGACUGCCGGUGACAAACCGGAGGAAGGUGGGGAUGACGUCAAAUCAUCAUGCCCCUUAUGACCUGGGCUACACACGUGCUACAAUGGACGGUACAACGAGUUGCGAAGUCGUGAGGCUAAGCUAAUCUCUUAAAGCCGUUCUCAGUUCGGAUUGUAGGCUGCAACUCGCCUACAUGAAGUUGGAAUCGCUAGUAAUCGCGGAUCAGCAUGCCGCGGUGAAUACGUUCCCGGGCCUUGUACACACCGCCCGUCACACCAUGAGAGUUUGUAACACCCAAAGCCGGUGAGAUAACCUUCGGAGUCAGCGUCUAAACUAUCGGGC